AACUUAAAUAAAUAAUUCCAAGUGGUUGGUAUUUGGUUAUUAAGACUCCUUCAUGAUUUCAGUGAUGAACCAACCUAGUCAAAAUAUACCAACUCCAAAUAUCAACACUACUGAAGCUGGUGCAGCAACAACAACUAUAGUUGUUGGACCUGAAUUGGCUAAAAGUUAAAAAGAAGAGAAGAGCUAAUGCAAGUGGUCCUAGAAAUCCUCUAAAUGUUGGAAACACUUUAAAAAAAUUAUUUCUAGUGAAGUGGAUGUCCCAUCUGCCACAUGUAAAUACUGCCACAAAAUAUACUUGUGUGACUCUCGAACUCAUGCCACCUCUAACCCAACUACCACCUUACUAGAUGUGCCAAAAAACCUUUGGUUGUAUCUGAUGACCCCACCCAAACUAUUCUUGCAUUUCCUAAUGUAGAAGGAUCUGGUUUGGUUUCAACAAGUAGUAAAUUUAACCUUCAAGCUUGUCGUAGGGCAUUGUCUAUUUAUGUGAUUUUGGAUGAACAACCAUUCAAAGCUGUGGAAGGUGAGAGAUUUAAAUAUAUGUUGAGAACAUUGCUGCCAAGUUUACAAUACCGUCUAGACGAACUGUAGCUAGGGAUAGUUUUCAGUUGUUUAUGGAGGAAAAAGUAAGGUUGAAAGCUUUUUUUAAGUUUGAUUACAAUACGGUAGCUCUUACAACAGAUUGUUUGACUUCAAUCCAAAACCUUAACUACUUGACCCUUACGGCACACUUUGUUGAUAAUGAUUGGAGUUAUCAAAAAAGGAUUAUUAGUUUCACAGUAAUCCCAAAUCAUAGGGGUGACAAAAUUGGUAAGAAGAUUGAAGAGGUUUUAAAGGAUUGAGGGAUUCAGAAUGUGUCAACUAUAACCGUUGGUAAUGCAUCAUCCAAUGAUGUAGCUGUUGCUUAUGGAUGGUUUGAUGGGGGAUAGGGAACACUUCCACAUGAGGUGUGUUGCUCAUAUUCUGAAUUUAGUUGUAACUGAUGGCUUGAAAGAAUUUUUUUUUUUUUUGCAAUCUCUAGCAUUAGAAAUGCUGUUAGAUUUGUAAAAUCUUCACCUCAUAGGGCUGUCAAGUUUAGGGAAUGUGUUCAAUUAGUUGGAAUAUCUUGUAAAAAAUUGCUAUCUCUUGAUGUUUCAACUCGUUGGAAUUCAACCUACUUGAGGCUGCGGAGAAAUUUCAAGUAGCUUUUGGGAAGCUUGAGGAGUCAAGUUAUAAGGAUUUCUUUGGAGAAGCUGGUCCCCCAACUAGUUCUGAUUGUGAUACAACUAGGGCGUUUGCAACUUUUUUGAAGUUAUUUUAUGAGGCAACUAAGGUGUUUUGCUCCUCACAACAUGAUAGUAUACAUGCAACUUUUCACCAAUUGUCCGCAAUCUAUUGUGAGCUGCAAAAUGCCUCCUUGAAUUUGAACACCAUUUUUGCAAGUGUGGCUGAGGAUAUGUUAGCAAAAUAUGAUAAGUAUUGGGGUAGUAUUACAAAAUUAAUAAGUUGCUAUAUUUUGGGGUAAUUUUCGAUCCACGAUAUAAGUUGAAAUAUGUUGAGUUGUGCUUGCAAGAUAUGUAUGCAACUAAAUCAGAGGUGGCUAUUGAAUUGAUCACAUUAAUUAAAGAAGAUCUAAGUAAAAUGUACAAAUGGUAUAAAAAAGUCCAUGACAAAAAACAUAAUUCACCACAACCAACUCCCAUGGCUGUUGACAGUGCCUCCCAUUAUGAAACCUUUGCUGCUGCUGUCCAUAAUUCACAUAUGGCCAGAGCACAAGCUUUUGAAGACCAUUUGAAAGAGAAAGACUCCAUUGACCAACAAAAUGAGCUUGAGGGGUAUUAUUCUAGUAAGUGUGUGAAGAUGAGUGAAAAGUUUGAUAUUCUUGCUUGGUGGAAAUGUAAUGCAACUUAGUACCCAAUCUUAUCUCUUAUUUCCAAAGAUAUUUUGGCCAUAUCGGUGUCUACAGUUGCUUCUGAAAGUGCUUUUAGUACUGGUGGGAGAGUCAUUGAGACCUUUAUAAGCUCUCUAAAGCCAAAAAUGGCUGAAGCAUUAAUUUGCACUCAGAAUUGGAUAAAACCUUCACUCACUUGUUUCAAAGACUUAAAUCUUAGUAAAGAUGUUGAUCUUUCUGAAGAAAUUAUUAAAGAGUUUCAAGGAAUGUCAGUGGGAAAUGCAACUACUACAGGUGACUCAUCAUCACAGCCACCUAGUUGUGGUUGAAUAAAAUUAUUAUUUAGACUUUCUUGAAUUUUUUGAAGUCACACAAACUUAAGUCAAAUAUUGACUUGGCUCUAUGACAAUAUCAACACAAAUUUUUUGGGAUUUGUAUAAUCUGUUGUUCUUCCUGCUGGUGCAUGAUAUUCCGAGACUGAUUUUGCUGCAAGUCAUAGAAAAACAAAUGUUUUAUCAUAUGUUGCUGGAGUUCUUGCAGAUUGCUUGGUGUUAAAUCUUUAUUUAACAUUAGCUAAGUUAGUAGCAGUAAUUUAUAUUAUUUUGAACAACAUAUAUGGGUUGCUAUACAUGAAACUAAGCUAAAGAAAAUUUGGCAUUAUCAAGUCUGGAAUUUUUUAAUGUUGAUUGCAAAUAAGGUUGGCAAUGGGAACAAAUUGGAAACAUAUAUUGAUAUUUGUAUUGUCAUUGAGUCAAUGGAAACUAUCAAUUUUAAGAAGUGUGUAUUAACAUUAGACUUUAUGUAUAAUUUGAAUUUAAAAGUGUGUAUUAAUAUUAGACUUCAUCUAUAACUUGAAUUUGGCUGAGUUGUUGUUGAAAAACUAAGCUGUUAUAAUUAAUCUGUUUGACUUGAUAAACAAGGAUUAUGUAAACUUUUAGUUGUAAUCUGUUGGACUUGAAAAACAAGGAUUGCGUAAAACUUUUAGUUGUAAGCUGUUGUAUUUGUAU